CACACAACCAUUCAGCCUCGUGCUCCGGAUGGAGCUUUCAAAGACCAGCACCCAGCGGGGCAGUGGUCCCGAACGGGUGCUCCAAGAACCAGACUUGAAUGAAAGGGCGUUGGUGUCCGAUGACAAAGGGCACCGCCUAAUCAUCCUGGUACAGAGUCUGAGUCACAGAAGCCGCUGGGGUCCCUGCCAAGAGUCGGUCUCCUGGACUCUCCCCACCUAAGACUCAGUCCAUCAGAUACUGUGGGAUCUGCCUACAUUUGUCACAGUUAUGGACACAGCCAGAAGUCAUGCUCCACCUACAAGGAACAGCCCUCAUCAGCCCUGACUCUGUUCUCCUUCAACUCUGGACCUUCUAGUCCCUAGAACCAUGAGAAUUAAGUUUCCGUGGUGACUGAGUCUCGGGCAUUUUGCGGCAGCCAUCUUGACUACAUUGAAGCUCGCCAACCUACACUGCAUCGCCUAUCAUGCGCUAGCUUGGAGAACUCCAUCUGUAACUAGGGUGGACAGAGGGCAGCCGCUAGGCAGUCCCUCCCUGGGUACUAUAAGAUCGCAGGCAGAGGUUGUGAGUGAGACUCAGGGGAGGUGCUGGCCCUCUGGGGAUGACUUCUGUCUCCCAGGAUGUGAGAAGUCUUGAGCUUCCCCCAGAGAUGUGGAUCUGGCGUGGUGACUACAGCCUGGUGUAUCCUACAGUGUAGUAAAUCUCUCUUUAUCUGUA